rnacentral:rRNA from 1 species
UACGUAGGGGGCUAGCGUUGUCCGGAUUUAUUGGGCGUAAAGAGCGUGUAGGCGCCAGGUAGGUCCGUUGUGAAAACUCGAGGCUCAACCUCGAGACGUCGGCGGAAACCCUCUGGCUAGAGUCCGGAAGAGGAGAGUGGAAUUCCUGGUGUAGCGGUGAAAUGCGCAGAUAUGUGGAGGAACACCAAUGGCGAAGGCAGUCUUCUGGG